rnacentral:rRNA from 1 species
UACGUAGGGUGCAAGCGUUAAUCGGAAUUACUGGGCGUAAAGCGUGCGCAGGCGGUUUUGUAAGUCUGACGUGAAAUCCCCGGGCUCAACCUGGGAAUUGCAUCUGUGACUGCAUAGCUAGAGUACGGUAGAGGGGGAUGGAAUUCCGCGUGUAGCAGUGAAAUGCGUAGAUAUGCGGAGGAACACCGAUGGCGAAGGCAAUCCCCUGGACCUGUACUGACGCUCAUGCACGAAAGCGUGGGGAGCAAACAGG